CAGAUCAUGUGACACUUAGAUUGCACACAGGUGGACUUUAUUUAACUAAUUAUGUGACUGAAGGUAAUUGGUUGCACCAGAUCUUAUUUAGGGGCUUCAUAGUAAAGAAUACAUAUGCACACACACCACUUUUCCGUUAUUUAGAUAUUUUUGAAACAAGUUUUUUAUUUUAUUUCACUUUACCAAUUUGGACUAUUUUCUUUGUUUGUCCAUUACAUGAAAUCCAAAUAAAAAUCCAUUUAAAUUACAGGUUGUAAAGCAACAAAAUAGGAAAAACGCCAAGGGGGAUGAAAUACUAUUGUCAGGCACUGUAUUUUCUCACACGUUUGCUGUGCCCCAAAUGGCGUGCAAUCCCCUACAUAGUGCAUUCUCUUUGGCAAGGGCCCACAGAAGUAGUGCACUACAUAGGGAAUGGGAUGCCUAGUCUCUCCACACAGCCUCUGUAUGUCCGGCAAGCCGGACUAUAGCUCACAGGAUGAAAUCACAAACAAUUUACCCAAACCUAUUUUAGUUAUAGCAUUAUUUCAUUUCAUGUUAGAAACUACGUGUCCUUUUUCAUAACUCCCUGUUGAUGCAUUCAUUAACCAAACCAUACAAUAUUAAUAACCAUAACGAGAGAGAGAGACUCGAUAACAACCUGGAUGUAUGUAAUAGUUUUACUAUUACAGAGGUUUCUAUACACUGAGCAGGGCCAUAGACAUGGGUUACAGUCCAGAUCACAUCCUGAUAUAUUCCCUAGGGACUGAGCAGGGCCAUAGACAUGGGUUACAGUCCAGAUCACAUCCUGAUAUAUUCCCUAGGGACUGAGCAGGGCCAUAGACAUGGGUUACAGUCCAAAUGGCAUCCUGAUAUAUUCCCUAGGGACUGAGCAGGGCCAUAGACAUGGGUUACAGUCCAGAUCACAUCCUGAUAUAUUCCCUGUAUAGUCAGAAGGAGUGGACUGUGUAGGGAAUAGGGACUGUGUAGGGAAUAGGGACUGUGUAGGGAAUAGGGACUGUGUAGGGAAUAGGGACUGUAUAGGGAAUAGGGACUGUGUAGGGAAUAGGGACUGUGUAGGGAAUAGGGACUGUGUAGGGAAUAGGGACUGUAUAGGGAAUAGGGACUGUGUAGGGAAUAUAUAACAUAAAACACUGGCUAACCACUGGUGUGGGGUUAAGACUCAGUGGAAAUGCAUCACCAUAGUACUAGACUAGUACUCAUAUUUAGUCAGUACUGCUGUAGUACUCUUAUACAGUACAGUUUAAGUCAGUACUGCUAUAGUACUCUUAUACAGUACAGUUUAAGUCAGUACUGCUAUAGUACUCUUAUACAGUACAGUUUAAGUCAGUACUGCUAUAGUACUCUUAUACAGUACAGUUUAAGUCAGUACUGCUAUAGUACUCUUAUACAGUACAGUUUAAGUCAGUACUGCUGUAGUACUCUUGUACAGUGCAGUUUAAGUCAGUACUGCUAUAGUACUCUUAUACAGUACAGUUUAAGUCAGUUCUGCUAUAGUACUCUCAUACAGUACAGUUAAAGUCAGUACUGCUAUAGUACUCUUAUACAGUACAGUUUUAAUGUGCAAUUAGCUGUAGCCCCUAACAUGGCGAUCAAUAAUCAAUAAUAUUACGAAGUUGGAUAAAAUAUUGAUCAUAUUUAUAAUUCGCAUUGACAUUGAUAAAUGGUGCUGGACUGUAAUUAAGGUUAUGAGGUACACUAGUGACUUUACAUUGAGCCCUGGUGAUGGGAGUCUGGUGGCAGAGUUAUGAGGUACACUAGUGACUUUACAUUGAGCCCUGGUGAUGGGAGUCUGGUGGCAGAGUUAUCAGGUACGCUAGUGACUUUACAUUGAGCCCUGGUGAUGGGAGUGACUUUACAUUGAGCCCUGGUGAUGGGAGUCUGGUGGCAGAGUUAUCAGGUACGCUAGUGACUUUACAUUGAGCCCUGGUGAUGGGAGUGACUUUACAUUGAGCCCUGGUGAUGGGAGUCUGGUGGCAGAGUUAUCAGGUACACUAGUGACUUUACAUUGAGCCCUGGUGAUGGGAGUGACUUUACAUUGAGCCCUGGUGAUGGGAGUCUGGUGGCAG
ensembl:lncRNA